rnacentral:lncRNA from 1 species
UGCAGUGUUGAACACUGCGGUUUUGCAGUCUGGAAGAAUGCUGACGGACCAAGCUGGAAUAUGAUACUUCAUUCCGUUGAAAGUAACAGGUGCAUAAGAACGGGAGUUGAAAUUAGAAAGGAAUGCAGCACAAGCGCCUGACUUCGAUCUGUAUACAUGCGCCUGCAAGAAGUCGAACGUAGAAAAGUUCCAAAAUGCCAAAUCAUCGAAAAUAUUCUUGCAAAUUUUACAGCAAGAUAUAAGAAUUGAACCUCCUGAUAUUUUCCGAGAUUUGUCACUGUGGGAUCCCCAGAGACGAGAGCUGGUUCACACGAUUUGAUUGCUUUAUGCAGGUCUGUCAGAUGUCCCCAUUUCGGUUGCCUUAACAGACCUGAGAAAGAUUACAAUAUGUUUAUCACCAGAUAGAGGGAAUGGUAAUAGUCGGCAUCAAAUAGAUUUGUAUUGCAUCAUCAGAUGCUUGACCAAUGAGACUGCACAGUGUCUUCUUCGUAGAAGAGGAACAAGAUUUUAGCACCAAAAAGAAGACAUAGGAAAAGCAUAAGCAAACUGAGUGGGAACUGUAUUACCUCUAAUCUUCUCUUAAUCUUGAAAGAACCCAAGUAUUUGACCUAAAUAAUUCUUUGUGUGUGGUAGAUGAUCAAGCCAACCAUUCAUGCCCUUUUCCCCCACCCACGGACAAACUUCUAAACAAGAUGUUUGAUAUAAUGUUUAUGUAUGUUUGUAUCUUUUGACAUGUUCGCACAACAUAUAGAGGGACGAUCGAAUACUUAAUUACCCCAUUUCAGUUAGGUUUGGUGGUCGCUUUUGGCUUAUAAAUAAAAAUUAUAUUAUGUGGACACUUGCGAGAGAUAUUCGAUCUGUAUUGGACCAUUUUGACCCUUUGUUGUGCAACCAUUCAGAACUUGUAAAGUCAUGUUGAUAAUUUGCAUUGGUUAUGAGGUGUUUUUUGGAAUGUUUGUUUAUGGAUUCCGAGUGAGGCAUUUUCUCUAACUCGUUUUCUCUUUUGUAGGUCCUAAGAGACCAUGGGAGGUUUCGGAAAGACUGACCUUUACGGACGGACACACAAGGGUAUUGCACAACUUUGGCAAAGCCAACUAACCUCAUUUUAGUUAGGUUUGGUGGCCGUUUUAGGCUUAUAAAUAAAAAUUGUAUUAUGUGGACACUUGCGAGAGAUAUUCGGUCUGUAUUGGAUCAUUUUGACUCUUUGUUGUGCAACCGUUCAAAACUUGUAAAGUCUGUUGAUAAUUUGCAUUGGCUAUGAGGUGUUUUUUGGAAUGUUUGCUGAUGGAUUCUGAGUGAGGCGUUUUCUCUAACCCAUUUUCUCUUUUGUAGGUCUUAAGAGACCAUGAGAGGUUUUGGAGAGGCUGACUUUUGCGAACGGAUAUGCAAGAGUACCGCACGACUUAAACAAAACCAACUAAAUCCAUCAUCAAAAGCAUGACCUCCAACGGGGCGAAUUCAUAAGAAGUCACAAGUUAGACCAAAACCAUAUCAUUACAACGUGAAAAUUAUUACAAAUGUUAGAAAAAUGGCAUACCGUAUUCAUCGAUUGGGGCAUCAUAGUCAUAGCUGGUCGCAAUAAAAGGACCACCAGCCGUCCUACCGAAGUUGGUUCCUCCAUGGUACUGCAGUUGACGUAAACAUGCAAAUUCGUUUACUUCAACAUGAUGGACAGCAAUCAGUAAUUACUGAAACAACUGAGGUAGAACAUACAAUUUCUUACCAUAUAGUAGUUAACGAAGGAACCACCUUUCGCUAUAAACCUUGCGACAGCAAAAGCCAUGUCCUGAACAGGCCGGUGAGGAACUGGACCCCCGAAACCAGUGAACCUAUUAACAUAGAAUACAUAGAAUAAAUUCACUGGAUAGAUUAAUUUCUUGUGAAAAUUUAUAUGAAUUCAAAUGUGAAGAAGUAGCGGUUACCAGCCAGUCCAAGCUUCAGUCCACAUGGUCGGUUUAUAAGGCUUGUUUGGUGAGAAGUAAUCGCAGUAGAACCCAUUGCAGGCAUUGAUCUUUAAAGACAAAAGCCCAAAAAAAGAGAUCACAAUAAGUCACCCAAGCUGGUCUAACAUGCAACUACAAACCCUCUAAUUAGGGCAGCUGGAAUUUAAGUAGAUAAAAGUCAUGUUGGACUUGACAAGGUAGAGAAGGAACAUGAACUUGGGGUUCUUCCUGAUGUGGUAGAACAAGAAAACCGAAAGCUUGGACUUACCACUGGAUCAGGUGCAUCAUCUUGCUUGCACAUGACCCACGGCACACCGGUGUUGAGACCCACUGCCAUUUGAGCAGCCCAGCUUAGGUAGUUCUUGGCUGCAGCGCCGUCAUAGUACUCCUGUAUACUAUAUUCGUUUUCAAUCUGCUCAAGUUAGACAAAGAGCAUGGAAGAACAGAAAGCGAAUUAGAUGAGAUCUUUGGGAGCUGAUCAACUCGAUGACACAUAAAAGCUAACGAAUUGAUGAAAGCAAAGAAGGAAUGGAUUCGAUGAUACCUGAGAGAGGAUAAUGGGACCACCCUGUGAUUCAAAUAAUCCUUCAGACUUCAUCAUGGCGACAAUCUUCUCUGUGAACUUCGCCAUGGCCGCCUUUUACAUGAAUAGACCAAUUAGCAAUUGCUCGGUUAGAGGAGAUCGAGUAUAAACAUGUAAAGAGAAGUUCCUGUGGAUUCUUACCUUGAAAGGUCCAUUGUCGCUCCUGAAAGUGAUGCCAGGAACAUAUUUUAACCAGACAGGAAAUCCCCUGUUUUACAAAGACAAGAUGAACAACAGAACAGCAUCAUCAGAUUGCAUGAUUAGGCUUUUGAUUCCACAUAGAAGAAUUAAUUGAAGACCUCGACCUCGUACCCAAAGUUCCAUUCGGCACAAACAUAAGGACCAAUCCGGAGAUGAACAUAGAGGCCGGCCUGCUUCACCAGCUUGAUGAAGCGAACCAGGUCGUAAUUACCACCAAAAUAAUACUGCCAAAGAUCAAGAAAAGCAACAAAUUGAGGCACACUAUGGGAAGGAGCAGUAGCCUUAGACGAGAGGGCUGGGAAAGGUUGGGUGAUCUCCGAACCUGGCCAGGGGACGGCUCGUGGCCGUUCCAGAACACAUAGGUCUGGAUAACAUCCAAGCCGCCAUCUUUAGCCUUCUGGAUGAGAUCCGGCCACAUCUGGAGACGAUCCAAUCGACAAAGUUCAGGUUUUGACGCGGUAGAAUAACAGUGCACGAACAGCUCACCAAAAAGGCCACAUUUCCCACAGAAUUGGAGACCUUACCUCCGGGGUGCUCCUGGGAUAGUGAAUGGAACCGGAGAUUAGAAUCCUCCUCUGCCCAUUGACGAUGAUAGCCUUGUGGUCGUAGGAAACGGAGGCAUCGACCGGAGAGGAAUGCCACGGAGACGACACCACCACCAACGCCACCGCCAGUAGCAGCAGCGUCGACAGUCCGCGGCCGCACCCAAGCGUUAUAAGCUCGAGGCUCAUGGUGGCCGGUCGGUCUUACCUUCAGAGGAGUCUCCUUUAGUGUUCUGGAUGUAUAAUAUGUGAAUGAUGGAGAUUCGUGCGCGCUGUUCUUCCGUCUUCUCCUCCGCUAGAGAAGUUCCGACGGAACUAUUGAGCAGUAGCGUUACUGCAACAAGCACACACCGAGGAAGAGAGAGGGAGAUCAAAGAGGAGGGAGGGAAGAGGGCGGACGUGGAGUGGGAGCGCGGGGGCGGGGAGGACGGGGGAGGGCGAUGUGCCUCUUGCGGUAUAAAUACCCGACGGGCGCAAGCGAGCACAGGAUUGGCGCUGGAAUACGCGGGUCCCAAAGCGCCAGCCACGUCAACGUUUUCUUCCAUUCCCCCUGAACAGGAAAAAAUCAAAUGGACCGAAGCGUGGGGCCAUCUGCUUGUAAGAAAGUGGACCAAUUAAGAUAAAGCUUUGAUAGUUGGCAAGGAUCGACAGAGUCAAAAUAUUUUGUUAAAAUUAUUAUUUGAGAAAAUUAGGACAGAUAGGUUAUGUGGAAUAAUAUUAGAAACUAAUAAUAUUAGUUUAGUUUUGUAAGAAAAUUUUAUGUUGAUGAUAUUUUUUAGUUGUCUAAUAUAUCGAUAUACAUUAUGAUAGUAAGCGAGUUAGAUAACAUAUCCAUAACCAUGAUAUAAAUAUUUUUUUAUAAAAUUACAUAUACAUGAUAUACCUAAAGGGUUUGAUGAGAUAUAUCAUAUUAUUAUUUUAUUAUGUGAAUAACAAUUUUUUUAUAUGUUAAUUUAGUUUCACAUAAGAAAUGUAUAAAGAUUUAGAUAAGAGUAUGAUAAUUGUACCAUUCUUAUCGUGAGUUUAGAGGGAUUUAACUCAAAGUAUCUCUCUCAGACGAAGAUUAUAUAUGUGGCAGAUAAGGCUAAGCCAGAUAGGAGAGAAAGGUAUGUUUUUAAAUAAAUAAAGCUUUUUAAGCAAUGGAAUAUUGUCAAAAUUAAAAUAAUAUGAAUACUAUAUUUUUGAAAAGCAAAUAAAGUUUCUUGAGUUGUAAUGAUAUCCAUUUUAAGCAAAUAUAAUUGCUGCAUUAUAUUUUUAAUGUCGAUGCCAAUAUUUAUAGUCACUGAUUAAAACAUGCCACAUAUAAUAUUUUCUUUCAAUACCAGAAAGAUAUUUAUAGUAUGAAUGAAAGGAUAAAUUUAGCUGAAUAUGGAACAUGAUGAACCAUAUCAUAACCAAUCCUCAAUUGAACUAAAACUUAAUCCUUACAGAAAUAGUUUGUAAUCAUCCUAAACUGGUCUAAAUAGAUUUCUAUUUUAGAUUAAACUGGCCUAGACAGUGCCUGACCCAGUCUGAUCCUUGAUAAGUGGUCAAGCCAAGCUACUGAAAUGUUGACCUCUGUGUUUGUAACUCAUGAUGAAAUUCUAAGUGACAUUAACAGUUUCUUCUUUAUAGUUGAUAAAUCAUUGUCAUCUCUUUCUAAAAAUAAAAAUAAAAAAAGCUGGGAAUAAAAAUAUCUAUAACAAUGCCUUUUUCCUGGCACCAGAUUGUAUCUUUACCACUAAUUUCUUGUUUCUUGCACUGUUGCACAUGAUCAUCAUGCAUCUUGUUAGACAUCUCAAGUGGUUGCCACAUAGUUCAGAGCUCAGAAGCACAGCCACACAAUUGCAUCAGGAAUCAAAAUGCUUAUAAGCUUUGCAGAAGCAAUGGAAAAGGCAAAGGAUGAUAACUUAAUAUGGAUCAAAAUGCUUAUAAGCUUAAGUAGUACAGAAGCAAAAGCUUAGCUCUUGCAAUUACAAGACCGACCAACCAUUUUGUGUAAACAUGCUAUCCCAAUUGCUAAUAUUAUGUCCACACAUGGACUCAAUAUAUGCAGAAUCCCACGUGCAGUAAGUAAUAUGUUGAGUGCAUCCAAUAUUUUCUAUGCACAUUUACUCACGUAACCAGGCAAUACCUUAAAGUGGGUGUGCAGUUCCUGCAUCUCCACCAAUCACUACUCCACGACUUUGGUUUGUAUAAAUUGACUUUAGUUCAUUUUCUUUACUUGGUCUACCAUCUGUGGUUAUCAUCUGCAGAUGGUUUUGACAGCAAGCUUCUUCAUAGUGCUACUCUUUUCACCAUUGAAAUCCCAGUUGGAUCACCACCCCACUCUUCAAACACAACCAACAAGUUUCCAGUUGGGUUCAGCCAAGCGCGAGGAACAUGAUACCUGAGAUUUGAGGUCAGUAAUCAGUCAUUUAUUCGAUUUUUUCGCAAGCUUAAUGGGGUGGAAAAAAAGGCAGGUGUUUCAUUACCAUUUUUGAGAAGGCUCCCCACAAUUAGUCUGGCAUUUCUUCUCGUUGUAUGUCCCUCUGUAAUCGCACCAAUCACAAGAACCAUAUGCCUUAUAGGCAGGCCAGUAUCUGCCAAUGCUUUGUCCAUUGAUCCAUAUCUGACCUUUGCCCAUGCUACUCAUGUCUAAUGCCAAUGGCUCAUUCCCAGCUGGAGCAUUAAAGAAAGCCUGGAAGAUGAUAAAGAUUAAGUGACACAAUAGUCUCAAACAUGAGAGGAAGGAAGAUGAACUUUAGGAUAACAUGUUUCUGUGUUGCAAGCAGUACUGACCUUGUACCAAGUCAAGGGCUGCUUUGUUGAUGCACCUCCCCACUCAACUGAAGAACUGCCACUAAGUGUAUGGAUGCUCAGGGAUUCACCUCUCAGGCCGAUCUACACACACAAACAUGGAACUCAGUAACCAGUAAGCAAGUUUUAGUCAGAGACUAAUGUAGGUAGGAAGAGUUGAUUGGAACCUGGUAAAUCCAUUUCUGUGAUGAAAGGUCUCUCUUUCCUUCAUUGAGACCUUCCAGAGUCACUGGACCAAGAACACCAGCAUUCCAUGUCUCAAAGUGGUUGCCAACAUUCUGAAACAGAUCAGAGAACAGAAAUCUGAUGUCUCAACAGCCAUCUUGUGUGUAUAAUUGUACAGGGUUAUUUGUAUGAUAUUUCAACUUUUCGAUCAAUGGCCAGGAAAUAUUUCACAACAAAUUAUGUACUCACAGGAAGACCAACAGCGACACUUAGAAUCGAGAUUUUGUUGCUUCCUGCCCACAACUUCACAUUUUCUCUGAAAGUCAGCUUUGGAUUGUCCAAACUACCAGAGACAGUCCCUGCCAGAAGAAAAGAAAGCAAAAGCCAAAUCGGAACCUCACCAAAUGUUGAGCAUAUCAUCAAGAAUCAAUUCUCCACAAGGCAAAGCCACUCACCAGCCCGUUCUCCAUUGAUGAAAACAUGCAUAGAAUGGCCUGCCGACAUCACAGUCAGGAAAGGGUAUCGGCCAUUCUUCAAGAAUUGUUCAUUUGAGUCUAUGUUAACACUGAAGAGUGGAGAUUGUGAGUCAUUGAGUGAUAGAUGUCAUUGAUUCUGUCUCAAAUAGACAAGCUGCAAAGGAACGUCUACUCACUAUGAAGUGUACCACAGGUAGUCUGUCCGAUCCCUUGUCAUGCUUAUCUGCUCCACCAAUCCAUCUUUUGUGAAUGAGUUAUCCCCCAGUGAGUUGGUAUCCUCACUGAAGGACUCCCAAGAAAAUCCACCAACCCAAGUCAUUUUAAUCUGUGAUGUUGGAGCUCCUACCUGUGUAUAUCAUUAGUAACUUUGUGUUAAAGACACUGUCAUGAAAAUUCAACCAUGGAAAUCCUUUUUCAUCCGAGAAAAUUUGGAAUACAUAGUGAGUUAUACAUUUUCUUUAGCCAAGAAACAAAUAACUCAAUAGAGAGGUGAGUUUUUUUAAUACAGUAGUAGAAGCAACCAUGACCGUUAAUCAUAAAAUAUUUCUCACCUUUGCAGUGUUGAACACUGAGGUUUUGCAGUCAGGAAGAAUGCUGAUGGACCAAGAUGGAAUAUUAUACUUCAUUCCAUUGAAAGUAACACUUGCAUAAGAAUGUGGGUUGAAAUUAGAAAGGAAUGCAGCACAUGAGCCUGACUUUGAUCUGUAUACAUGUGCCUGCAAGAAGUCGAAUGUAGAAAAGUUCCAAAAUGCAAAUCAUUGAAAAGAUUCCUGCAAAUUUUACAGCAAGAUAUAAGAAUUGAACCUCCUGAUAAUUUCCGAGUUUUGUCACUGUGGGAUCCCCAGACACAAGAGCUGGUUCACACAUUUUGAUUGCUUUAUGCAG